AAAGCUGCUGCCUCAUUUAGCGAAUGGCAUUCAGACAGCAUUUGGCUAUGUAGCCCAAAUUCUCAAUCCUCCUGUCUCCGUCGUCCCUCACUUAUAGACUUCAAGGGAUGGCACUUGAUGUAUUAAUCACCUCUCUGUUGCUACAGCAAAACACCGUGGUCAGAGUAACCUAUGGAAGGGAGGGGCUUCUGGAGCAUAUGAUUCCAGAGGAACAGGAACCAGAGAGCCCACAAUGGCAGAGGAGAGGCCAGGCAACAAGCAGAACCAAAGCCCAACUCCAGUGACACACUUCCCCCAGCAAAGUCACUCUUAAGGAGUCACUCUUAACAUCACAAACAGUACCUGCUAGCAUUCUGUCUAAACUCCCACAGUUANCUGGCAACAGCCAGGUAGGCCUGGCCCAAUGUAAAAGGGGCUGCUUGCCGCCCCCCCCCUCUCUCCUUCUUUUCUUUCUUUCUUGCCUCUUGCUCUCUUGCCCCCUCUCUCCCCAUUCCCUUCCCCCACCUCCACGUGGUCAUGGCUGGCCUCUACUUCUGUGGCCCAUAGUCCAUCUCUGUCAAUAAAGUCCUAUUGGCCCACCUCC
rnacentral:lncRNA from 1 species